AACGCGAAGAACCUUACCUGGACUUGACAUCCUCGGAAGCCUGUAGAAAUACGGGUGUGCCUUCGGGAACCGAGAGACAGGUGCUGCAUGGCUGUCGUCAGCUCGUGUCGUGAGAUGUUGGGUUAAGUCCCGUAACGAGCGCAACCCCUGUCCUUAGUUGCUAGCGGAUUAUGCCGAGCACUCUAAGGAGACUGCCAGUGACAAGCUGGAGGAAGGUGGGGAUGACGUCAAGUCAUCAUGGCCUUUAUGUCCAGGGCUACACACGUGCUACAAUGGUGGUUACAAAGGGAAGCCAAGUCGCAAGGCGGAGCAAACCUCAAAAAAGCCAUCUUAGUCCGGAUUGGAGUCUGCAACUCGACUCCAUGAAGUUGGAAUCGCUAGUAAUCGCGGAUCAGCAUUGCCGCGGUGAAUACGUUCCCGGGCCUUGUACACACCGCGAGC
rnacentral:rRNA from 1 species